rnacentral:rRNA from 1 species
GAUGAACGCUGGCGGCGUGCCUAAUACAUGCAAGUCGAGCGAACGGACGAGAAGCUUGCUUCUCUGAUGUUAGCGGCGGACGGGUGAGUAACACGUGGAUAACCUACCUAUAAGACUGGGAUAACUUCGGGAAACCGGAGCUAAUACCGGAUAAUAUUUUGAACCGCAUGGUUCAAAAGUGAAAGACGGUCUUGCUGUCACUUAUAGAUGGAUCCGCGCUGCAUUAGCUAGUUGGUAAGGUCACGGCUUACCAAGGCAACGAUGCAUAGCCGACCUGAGAGGGUGAUCGGCCACACUGGAACUGAGACACGGUCCAGACUCCUACGGGAGGCAGCAGUAGGGAAUCUUCCGCAAUGGGCGAAAGCCUGACGGAGCAACGCCGCGUGAGUGAUGAAGGUCUUCGGAUCGUAAAACUCUGUUAUUAGGGAAGAACAUAUGUGUAAGUAACUGUGCACAUCUUGACGGUACCUAAUCAGAAAGCCACGGCUAACUACGUG